AAGAUUUUGUUAGAAUAUUUUAAAUAUAUUCAUUUGUAUUUUAAAUAAAAAAAUAAAGAUAUUAAAAAAUAUAAUAAUGAACUUAUGUAAAAUAUGAUAUUUUCUAGGAAUGGUCCAAACUAAAAAAAAAUUACACAUGAAAAGAAGUUAUGACUUCUGUUUUAAUAUAUUAGAUUUUGGACAAGAUACGAUGUGGGUUUGUUACUCAUCGACAAUCCAUUACAGCUUAAACAGUGGAAAUUAUUGAUUACAGAACAUGGCGUUCAAUUAUUAAGCCACCAGAAUACACCAAAUCCUCGACAAUCACGACUUUAACAAUAACAAUUCGACGCUGUCAAAAAAAAAAACAAUAACAAUUCGACUUAAAACUUCCUAUAUUAACUUUUUUUUUUAUCUUUUAUCAUAUUAGCUCUCUCCACUUAUUCCGGUUUAAUUUAAAUUUACUUUUUUUUAAUUAACCACAGUAUCCGGCGACUGAGAUCAACCGACUACACUGUCGGCAAUACAAUGUUAAAUUAUCGGAUGGUCAAAGAGGGUCCAAUUGCAGAUUCACCGUAUUGGAGUUAUCUCUCAAAUUCCACUAACCCAAGACCCGUUGGUUUUCCCAGUAUAGGACACUUAAGUAAAACAAGACAUUCUACUACAAAAACAGAGCAGCGUUUCUCGUGUCUAUUUUCCAGUGUCAGUGUCUACAAAUGGAAGCAUCAAAUAUGUGUUUUGGUCUUAAUACUCUCCCUAACGUUCUUAACAGCCCUCUCUGUCAUAAGACCAACCUCUCUCUCUUUCCUCGCCGUUUGCUUCAAAACAACACUCUAUCCUCCAAGAAACUCAUGACAAAACACGACUUGUCAUGUGUACAGGCUGAGAGUAGUGGCUAUCUUGAGAGUACUCGUCCAUUGACCUACUUUUCCCCAUCUACUUGGGGAGAUUACUUCCUCUCUGUUCCCAUCGAUGACUCUGUAAGUACACACCUGAUCUGAUGUGUUUCGUGGUCGACAAGCUUUCUUAAAUUAAAUCAUAUUCUUUGUAGGAAUUUGAGGCACUUGAGCAAGAAAUUGAAUCUGUGAUGAAACCAAAGGUAAGAGACAUCCUCAUCUGUCCUAACAGUAGCGACAAGGAGAAGAUUCGUAUUAUCCAUUUGCUUAUCAGCCUCGCUAUCGCUCAUUAUUUUGAGAGCGAAAUAGAAGAGAUUCUACACCAAGCUUUCUUAAAGCUGGACUACUUAAUAUCAGAAGAAGAUGAUCUGGAAACAAUUGCAAUCAUGUUUGAAGUUUUCAGACUAUACCAACACAAGAUGUCUUGCGGUAAAUUAACGACUAUUUAAAUGUAUUUCUAUCAGUUUUGCUUAUUUGCAUGUAUAUGUAUAUAUGAGUAAAAAAAAUUGUUUCUUAUAGAUGUGUUUGAGAGAUUCAAAGGUGAAGAUGGAAAAUUUAAGGAAAGUGUGGCUCAUGAUGUUAGAGGAAUGCUACAGUUGUACGAAGCAGGGCAUCUCGGACUACCGUCUGAAGAUAUAAUGGACGAUGCAUUGACUUUCACGAGGCAUCACUUGGGGUUGUUGACUGGCCAAGAAACUAGCCCAAAUCUCUUUGAGCAGAUACAACGCACAUUGUAUAGAGCUCGAUAUCAUAACAUCGAGAUAGUGGUCGCACGACAAUACAUCUCUUUCUACGAACAGGAGGAAAGACACGACGAGAUGCUCCUCAAGUUUGCAAAGCUCAACUUCAACUUUUGCCAAAUGCACUACAUCAAAGAGCUUAAGAUUGUCACGAAGUAAUUAAUUUUUUUCCCCUUUUUUAAGUGUAUAUAUUUAUAUGAUUCUGAUCAUCAGUCUUCUUGAUGUGUAACUUAAUUUAUGGCUACAGAUUGUGGAAAGAGCUAGGUAUGACGCCUAAGCUAUCUUACAUAAGGGACCGGAUUGUGGAGGCAUUUAUUUUUGCAGUAGGAUUGUUUUUCGAGCCAAGGUAUUCACGUGGAAGAAUUCAUGCCACUAUACUUUCAAAGAUCGCGAGUGUCGUGGAUGAUACAUGUGAUGCAUAUGCCACUCUUUCAGAAGUUAUUAGUUUUCAUGAUGCUUUCCAAAGGUAAUUAUGUAGAGUCUUAUCUACAAGCAUGCAUAUCUAGUUAUCUACCACUAUCUUAUGCAUCUAUGAUCAAUAUAUGUGUUUUCAUGUAGCUAACAAAGAAAUCAAUUGUCCAGGUGGGAUCUUGGUGCCAUGGAGGAACUACCAACCAAUAUGAGAAUUGUCUACAAAAAUACGUUAGAAAUUGUUGAAGAAAUUGAUCGAGAAAUGAGAGCUCGAGGAAAGUUUGGUCGUUUGCAACCAACUAUAGAUGAGGUAUAAGCAAUCAAUUUGGAGUAGAUUCCAAUUUGAUAUACAGUUAAUCUGAUUACAUUGAUCAUGUGCAGUUUAAGAGUCUGAUGAAACUGUAUCUGACGACAGCCAAAUGGGCACGUGCAGGGCACGUGCCAAGCUUUGAGGAUUACAUGGAGAAUGGGAGCUCCUCAUCUGGACUGGAUGACUAUGCAGCUUACGCAUAUAUAUCGAUGGACGAUUGUGAUGAGCAGCAAUUGAAAGAGUGGUUCAACUCCAAACCGAAAAUAUUUAAAGCUUCAAAUAAUAUAUUUCGUCUUAGAAAUGACAUUGCGACUUUUGAGGUAUGUAUGUGUAUAUAUAUUACACAUGGACCAAGUCUUGCUACCAAAUUUAUAGCUUUCUUUAUAUAUAAAUGAACAGCAAGAAAUGAGCAGAGGAGAGGUGGCGAAUGGCGUCAAUUGUUACAUGAAGCAACAUGGUGUUACCAAAGAAGCAGCUGUUGAAGUAUUGAGGAAGAUGGAACGAGAGAAAUUUAAGAUAAUGAUGGAGGAAUUUGUUUUGACGAAAGCUGUGCCACGACAGAUUCUGCUGCGAGCCACCAACAGUGCACGUAUGAUUGAUUUGUAUUACAAGGAAGGUGAUGGAUAUGGCCAUCCCGAUCAAAAACUAAAAGACAUUAUUGCCUCUGUGUUCCUCCAUCCAGUUCCUCUUUGAAAACUUAUGGAAGUUAAGAGUGAAUUUAGGAGAUAUAUAAUCAUUCUACUAUCUUCAACAUCUUUUCUUUGUUCUUUGUAUUUCAUGUGCAUUGAGAACUACUCGUGCCCUCUCUCAUACUUUUUUGUGUGUUUUCAAAAUUGAAUAAGAAACUUUCCAGUUUUAUCUAAUAAGUAAUUGUCAACUACACAUGUGCAGAGCUAUUCACAACAUAGUUGGGGUCUGACCCCACCAAAGUUACAAAAUUGCUUUGUAUUUAUUCAAAUAUUACUGACCCCACUGAAUUACAUUCUGACCCCUUUUGUUUUCUGUUUAAGUCCUCAACCUUUUAUUGUUUUUUUCAAGUCCUCAACUUUUUAUUCUCUUUUUUUUUCACCUUCAGUUUCAGUUUUCUAAUGUAUAUGACCCCACUAAGAUAAUAUUUCUGGUUCUAAAACUGAAUGCUAGUUCGGGAGCUGAAAUGACGUAAAGGAAAUGUGAUGAGAGAGUCAAAGCUGAUCUUUGUAUUUAGGGUUUGAAGAUUCUCGUAGCUAGACGAGUCCAUUUUUACAAUGGGUCGCGAGAAGUUUAUAAUUUGGAAUUUGGGUCACCAAAGUAUAAUGAUACACUAACCAAGUUUUAGGGUCACUUUCACAUCUACUAGACUCGUGGUGGUCUAGCUGGCAAUCUAAGACCCCACAUUUAUGGAUGUUAAGAGAAAUCAGACAAGGAAGAAAGGUCGGUAAAUUCCAUGUUAGCUCCGGACAUCUUAGUAUGAAAAGUGUACUUUGAGAGAAGGGAAUAAGUAUCCUUUAGUGACCUUUGUGUGUCUAACCAGUCUUCCCAAUUAGGCAGGUUAUCAAAUCGCAGUGUUUCAAGUGAUGGACUUGAGCAGAACCCGGAACCGAUGCUUCUAAGCUCGGCUAUUCCUGAAAUGUGAAGUUUUUUUGAGACCUAGUACUAGGCUAGUAGUUGACGAAGAGAUGGCAAACUGGAAUAGUGCUACAUUCGCUUAGGCGUAUGCACCCAAUCAGGGCCGUCUCAAAUUAAUUUUAGACCCUGUUCAAAAAAAUAUAUUAAUCGUACAUUUUAUCAAGUAAUUUUAAAAUUUAAUAAUUUUAUCUGAUUUUUUUAAUUAUAAACUCUAAAUUUAACAUUAUAUCUAAAAUUUUGAAGUUUCUGACCAUAAUUUAUCUAUAUAUUUUUUAAAAUUCUUAGACUUUUUUAUUUUUAUAUUUCGGGGUCUUGUUCGAUCGCUCCACUUGCGCGUGCUGUUAGACGGCCCUGCAUCCAAUCUUGAGAAUGUGGAAUCACUCAACCAACCUGGAAACCUUCUUCCGUUGUUUCUCUUUGUGUUGCUAUCUGAGCUACUAGAUCCAGUUCUCUAGACAAAAUCUAUCUCCUUUAGAUGAGUUUCUUUCUGUCUAAAUUUUCUCCUGCAGCAUCAGCGACGUCCACAACUCGUUGUAGCUAGACAAAGUUCAUUGAGUUCUCCAAGUUCACAAAUCCUUGUCCCACCACUAGCAGUGAAGAACAAAUUUUUAAGAGUCUAGAUGCUCUUCAGUCUACCAAAUAUCCGCGGCACCUUAUUUCUUCGUCCCAAUCAGAUCAAGAUACCACAGCUUAAUGAGGUUGCAGAUGUUGUAGGUAGCUCCUUUAGACUAGAACAGUAUGCCUAAAAAAGUGCUGCAGCCUGCAGGUUAUACAUAUAACAAAGGGAUUUCAGAAGUUUCUGGAAUUCAAUGCAAGAGAGAUCCAAAAACAAGGCAUGGCUUAGGAUAUCCUUUAGCCCUAGGAAUCCGAAGUGAGCAUGCUCUAAGAUCAAAUCUCGCAUUCCUGAUUUGUACCUGACGGUAAAUUGGUAAUUUUUCUUUUUUAGAACUAACUACUAUGCAUACAGUUAUUCUAAUUAUUACUUGAACUUCUUACGUUAUAAUAUACUAGGUUAAUACCCGCGCUACGCUGCGGACAGAGAUUCUAUAUAAAUUUUGUAUUUUACAGAAUUAGUACUAAGCUAAUUUCAUAAUGUAAUUUCUGCAACUCUUGAUAGUGUAUCAAAUUUGCUUAAACAAUUUUAAAAAGUAUACACACCAAUAGAUAUUAUAAAAUUUUAUCUUAUUGAUAAGGUGGCAUUUUAAGGUGUGACUUGUUUCUUCUAUGGCUAUCAAGAGUUGUUUUUAGAAGAAUCUGAUCUGAACAUGUUACAUAGGUGGUUUGUUUUUAGAAAACUCACCAAAAUUCUAUUGAAAAAAAUGUGCUAGCAUGGAAAGGUAUACCGUGUACCUACAAUAUACAUUCAGACUUUAGCUUUUACGGUGCUUUUUAUUAAUCUGAGAUAGUCAUAUACAACUUUCGCAUAUGGAUUGAACAUCAACCUGAGUUUGAAAACAAAUUAAAGAUAUGAAAAAUAUUUUGUCUUUAAAAAAGAAACUCUAUAUGAUCUACAUAAUACUUUUCAACAUGAAAAAUAAGAACAAAUUCCUUUCGCUCUUUUAGAAAAAGGAACAUUGUGAAAUUAUACAGCAAGAAAAUGUUGUAACAGAUGAAAUCCUUGUAAAAAAAAAGUAAUUCCAUUUCCAGAAUCAGUACUCAUGAUUCAUUGAGAAUCUUGUGCAGAGGUUCUAAAACUUGAAACUUAGUAAAAAGUAAAAGAAAUUUUAGUUUUCUAAUUGUCUAUUUAUUUUUCGUAUAUUGAUAAUAGAAAGUAAAUCCUUGAUCAAAAUAUCAAACUCUACAAUUUCAUUCCUAAUGUGCACAUGACGAUGACAUGUAGGAAAUAUUCUUCUAACAAUUUCAGGAGAAAGUCAAAAAGACCUAAACACAUUUCCAACACUAAGAGGAAAUGUGUACACAGCCUCCUUAAAGGUAAACAUUAUGACCAUAAAUUAUGGCAAGAAAAAAACAAAUAUCAAAACCAGCAAAAAAGGUUGAAGGAAUAUUAGAGAUUUCAUACUUGGAUUCUCUCGGAUGAUAUAGCUUCACCAUUAACUCUUAAGGCCAUCAAAAUGACAAAUGUUACUUUCUCUUUCGCUUACUUCUUCGAUGUCUCUCACAUUUUGACAUUGAAAACAUAAAAAAAUAAAGAAGUUUGACUGUGGUUAAUCGGGCCUCCUCAUGGUCUUGGACUGCAAUUUUGUUUUAGUUUUAGAACCUUCAUCUCCUAAUUUGCCAAACAAAAGUUCUCACAAUCUCGAAAUCUCAGUUUCAUUAAAGAUCAUUCUUAAGAGCGAUGAAAAGGUGAGAACACAUUUAGUGUUACGAAAAAACUUGAGAAAAUCAGCUUAAAUAAACUUCAUGAGGCUCAAAUUUCAUCAGCUCCUCAACAUUCUUCACAACAUUAAUCUUCUUAUACAAAACACCUUUCAUUGCCUCCAUGGCCUAAAUACUCUAUUAUAAAAAUCUCUUAUGCUUCAUAGUCACUAUUUCAGGAUUGAAAAACAAAUGAAUGACUAAAUAUUACCGUAAAAUUCCCCAUAUUGAAGGAGACAAAAGAAAGCAGAUUAUCAUAUAGACGUUUUUAACAAUGGCCAAGUUCACCGUUACCGUCACCUUUUCUUCUCGACGUUGGCUCACUCAGUAAUCGUUGCUGAUAACCUUACCACUUUAUCAGAUGAACCCGGCCCAGAUACCACAAACCCAUCCCUUACCGUAACCGUUUCAGGACCAGAAUUAAUGUAAACCGAUAUCACUAUACGACGAAUUUAGUAAACUUUCAUCUGAAGAUCAAUCGUCAUUUCCGUGUGACCAUCCUGAUCCUUUAGCCAAACUACAUGAUAUUCUCCAGCAGAAUAAAAGACGACAUGUAAAUUGAUAUCACACUAUUUUUAUGAGUUUUACCAUUUGUUAUUAGUACAUUUUAUUCAUUUUAGGAUGCAAUUAGAUGUAUAUACUGUAUUGCAUUUGGUAGGGGUUAAAAUGCACACUUGAGAAGUUUGAGGCGAAAUCGUGGGGUUACCUUUGCAAAUUAAAAAGUUUGUGCCAAUUUGAAGACCAUCAAGAGACGGCGGACCAAAGUUGCAAAUUUGAAAUAUUUGCCUGGGCUAAAUUGCACAAUUGGAACUUUGGGUUUGAUUUGCGGGGGAAUUUCUGCACAUUCCAAAGUCUGGGUCUCGAACUGAAAGUAAGCAAAAGGUCAGGGAGUGGUUUUGCAAAUACUCCAAAUUCCACCAUUGUAGCGUUUAAUUGUUCUCCUCGCCAGAUUUGGUUGACGACGAUUCCGGCGGCUACGAUGGAGCAGAGACACGACAGUGAGGUUCCUGGCGCAUACCAGAGCACGCCACAAUGAAGACGGAGUUUGUGGUGGCUGAGCAAUUACCGAUUGCGAUGAAUGAGAAUUGAAGAUUGGAGAGCUUCACUGCGGGUUACGGACGCGACUUAGAGCAACCCGCGAGUUACGUACAGAUCCAUCUCAAUCCAGGUAAACUCAAAAGCGAUCUUAAAAGCCAAGCCAUCCCUGGGUACUCAUUGAUCUGGCUCCUCAUGUGGAAAACAACGACCAAGCUUCUGGUUCAGCUCCUCUCUACUUUUGAUUAUGCUAAAGAUAGCUAUGAAGAUGUCGAAUGGAUUGAUUCUUCGUUGGGAUGAAGUUGUCAGCUUACGUGUCUUAACCAAAUACUGAGUUGUAUAAAUGAAAUGUUUUGAUUGGUUUUACAAGUUUUUUCAGUUAAUGACAUGUAAGUCUCUCAAGACUCUAAAAGUCUGAUGUGUCAACACUUGGAGAGAACCUUCUGCUAUUAUUGUGUUAGAUUUGUACA